rnacentral:rRNA from 1 species
AACGCGAAGAACCUUACCAAGUCUUGACAUCCCCCUGAAUCUGUUAGAGAUAGCAGCGGCCUUCGGGACAGGGGAGACAGGUGGUGCAUGGUUGUCGUCAGCUCGUGUCGUGAGAUGUUGGGUUAAGUCCCGCAACGAGCGCAACCCUUAGGUCUAGUUGCCAGCAUUAAGUUGGGCACUCUAGAACGACUGCCGGUGACAAACCGGAGGAAGGUGGGGAUGACGUCAAAUCAUCAUGCCCCUUAUGACUUGGGCUACACACGUACUACAAUGGCCGGUACAACGGGCCGCGAAGCCGCGAGGUGGAGCCAAUCCUAAAAAGCCGGUCUCAGUUCGGAUUGCAGGCUGCAACUCGCCUGCAUGAAGUCGGAAUUGCUAGUAAUCGCGGAUCAGCAUGCCGCGGUGAAUACGUUCCCGGGCCUUGUACACACCGUAGUAC